rnacentral:rRNA from 1 species
AAUAUUGGUCAAUGGAGGCAACUCUGCACCAGCCACGUCGCGUGAAGGAUGACGGCCCUACGGGGUGUAAACUUCUUUUAUAAAGGAAUAAAGUGAGUCACGUGUGACUUUUUACAUGUAUUGUAGGAAUAAGAAUAGGCUAACUCCGUGCCAGCAGCCGCGGUAAUACGGAGGAUACAAGGGUUAUCCGGAUUUAUUGGGUUUAAAGGGUGCGCAGGCGGAAGAUUAAGCUGGAGGUGAAAGUUUGCAGCUCAACCGUAAAAGUGCAAUCGAUACUGGUUUUCUUGAGUGUGGAUGAAGUAGGCGGAAUUUGUGGUGUAGCGGUGAAAUGCAUAGAUAUCACGAGGAACUCCGGUUGCGAAGGCAGCUUACUAGGCCAUAACUGACGCUCAGGCACGAAGGCGUGGGGAUCAAAC